CCUACGGGAGGCAGCAGUGGGGAAUUUUCCGCAAUGGGCGCAAGCCUGACGGAGCAAGACCGCGUGAGGGAGGAAGGCUCUUGGGUUGUAAACCUCUUUUAUCAGGGAAGAAGAUCUGACGGUACCUGAUGAAUCAGCAUCGGCUAACUCCGUGCCAGCAGCCGCGGUAAUACGGAGGAUGCAAGCGUUAUCCGGAUUUAUUGGGCGUAAAGCGUCCGCAGGUGGUUAUUCAAGUCUGCUGUUAAAGCGCGAGGCUUAACUUCGUACAGGCAGUGGAAACUGAAUGACUAGAGUAUGGUAGGGGUAGCGGGAAUUCCCAGUGUAGCGGUGAAAUGCGUAGAUAUUGGGAAGAACACCAGCGGCGAAAGCGCGCUACUGGGCCAUUACUGACACUCAUGGACGAAAGCUAGGGGAGCGAAAGGGAUUAGAUACCCCUGUAGUCCUAGCUGUAAACGAUGGGUACUAGGUGUUGACCGUAUCGACCCGGUCAGUGCCGUAGCUAACGCGUUAAGUACCCCGCCUGGGGAGUAUGCACGCAAGUGUGAAACUCAAAGAUAGUAGCGNGNGAGAGCGACGACGACGACGAGGAGGAGG
rnacentral:rRNA from 1 species